rnacentral:rRNA from 1 species
AGACCCGAAACCCGGUGAUCUAGCCAUGGGCAGGUUGAAGGUUGGGUAACACUAACUGGAGGACCGAACCGACUAAUGUUGAAAAAUUAGCGGAUGACCUGUGGCUGGGGGUGAAAGGCCAAUCAAACCGGGAGAUAGCUGGUUCUCCCCGAAAGCUAUUUAGGUAGCGCCUCGUGAAUUCAUCUCCGGGGGUAGAGCACUGUUUCGGCUAGGGGGCCAUCCCGGCUUACCAACCCGAUGCAAACUGCGAAUACCGGAGAAUGUUAUCACGGGAGACACACGGCGGGUGCUAACGUCCGUCGUGAAGAGGGAAACAACCCAGACCGCCAGCUAAGGUCCCAAAGUCAUGGUUAAGUGGGAAACGAUGUGGGAAGGCCCAGACAGCCAGGAUGUUGGCUUAGAAGCAGCCAUCAUUUAAAGAAAGCGUAAUAGCUCACUGGUCGAGUCGGCCUGCGCGGAAGAUGUAACGGGGCUAAACCAUGCACCGAAGCUGCGGCAGCGACGCUUAUGCGUUGUUGGGUAGGGGAGCGUUCUGUAAGCCUGCGAAGGUGGCCUGUGAGGGUUGCUGGAGGUAUCAGAAGUGCGAAUGCUGACAUAAGUAACGAUAAAGCGGGUGAAAAGCCCGCUCGCCGGAAGACCAAGGGUUCCUGUCCAACGUUAAUCGGGGCAGGGUGAGUCGACCCCUAAGGCGAGGCCGAA